rnacentral:rRNA from 1 species
GACGAACGCUGGCGGCGUGCCUAACACAUGCAAGUCGAACGGAAAGGCCCCUUUUGGGGUACUCGUGUGGCGAACGGGGGUGUAACAUGUGUGUAACCCGCCCUUGUCUUCGGGAUAACCUUACGAAAAUGGGCCCAAUUCCGGCAAGGAAUCUUUGCUGCAUGGUGGGGGUUGGUAAGAUUCCGCGGUUUUGGAUGGACUUGCGGCGUAUCAGCUUGUUGGUGGGGUAGUGGCUUACCAAGGCGUCGACGGGUAGCUGGCCUGAGAGGGUGACCGGCCACACUGGGACUGAGGGGCGGCCGAGGCGCGGAAGGGUGGAAGCAGUGGGGAAGCUUGCACAAGGGGCGGAGGGCGGAUGAAGCAAGGCCUCGGGUGGGAUAACGGUCUUAGGGGUGAAAACCGCUUUCAGCAGGAGCGAAGCUUGUGGUGACGGUACCUGCAGAAGAAGCACCGGCUAACUACGUG